AUUCGGCUUGAAGUCCCGUCGGCUUGAUGUCCGGCACCCUAUAAAACUACAUACAGAGUUAAAACGGUUUCAGAGGACAGAGACACUUGAUUUUAUUUUGACCUCAAUUACGUAUUUUGACCUCACUGAAUAAAACUCAACAAAAAAGGAAUGUACUAUUAUAGUACAGCUUAUAGGCUUCCUUUACAUAUCUUAAGCACUUGAUAAAAUAACCAAGCAAAAAAAUUCAUUCAAAUGAUCAAACAGAUUACAUUAAAUCUCAGAAAACUAGACGUCACAAAUGAGACCAGUCAUAAAUGAACGAAAUACACUAACUAUUCAGUUCAAUACGGUGCACUGACGUUGACAUCAUCAGAUUCAGUAUCAUAUGUUCUACGACAGAGUGCGUGCAUUAUAUUACACUUCUCAAUGUUCAACCAUCAAAAAACUAAAGAACAGAUUUUGACCAGUACUUGCACAUUCUAUGAAACAAAAUGAACGCAGUACCACAAGAUGUUCAUUACACUGCCUAUGACCAUAGAGGACAAGCCGAUGAUUCAACUGGGGACCAAAACUACCCAUGCAAUCCGUUGUCAACUCAAACAGCCAACAUUCACAACAACCCAGAACCAAACGCCGCACUUUAUAUCAACAGGGUCGAGCAAAUCGAGAGAACUCAAACAGCAAAACCUACAUUGACGGAGCGAAUUAUUCAUGGCAGAGCUAUAGUACAAAACUGGCUGCUGAUAACACUCUUUGUCUAUAUUAUUGCAUCAUUCGUAUCCAUAGUCUCAAUCGCAGCAAUCAUGGGAAAUACGUCAAAGAGAUUUCAAAAUAGAUAUGAUAAUAUGGAAACGGAGAACGUCAAGCUUAGGCUACAACUUGACGAAUUGCUCACAAUCUCUUACUCAAGCUGGCAAACAGCGCACUUCAGAGCCUUUGACCUGCUAUCCGAUGUGGCAGAUCGUCAAAAAUAUCUCCAGCAAACAACAGAUCAAUUGAAAGCUACUCAGAUACUUUUAUCUUGGGAAUUGUUCGAAAAAAGAAACUACAUUUCACAAUUGAACAAGACUGCAACAGAUUUUGAAAUGCAGUUACCACUCGCACAGUUAGAUGCCGAAUUAAAUUUUUUUGACAUUGACAAACUGGAACUGAAGCAACAACUUCAAGAGGACAAAAUUUCUAUGGCACAGGCGAGGCUUGCAUUACUUAGACACUGUUAGAAGAAAUCAGAAGAGAAAACUAAGCGGCACGAACUGCAAUUAAAAAGUACUGGUGAUCAAAGAAAAAAAUCAAUAAUCAUGACUAAUUCCGCAAAAAUUGCCGCAAUAUGGCCAAUAAUAAAUUA